rnacentral:rRNA from 1 species
UACAGAGGUCCCGAGCGUUGUUCGGAUUCACUGGGCGUAAAGGGUGCGUAGGCGGUUCUGCAAGUCUGAUGUGAAAUCUCCAGGCCCAACCUGGAAACGGCAUUAGAAACUACAGGGCUAGAGGCUUGGAGGGGGAACUGGAAUGCUCGGUGUAGCAGUGAAAUGCGUAGAGAUCGAGCGGAACACCAGUGGCGAAGGCGAGUUCCUGGACAAGUCCUGACGCUGAGGCACGAAAGCUAGGGUAGCAAACGGG